rnacentral:lncRNA from 1 species
UUUAUAGGAAGCAAAAAGAAUACAAUAAAUUAACCAACCAGAGUAAUAUAAAGGGAACAAACAUUAUAAAGCUUUCUACAAGGAAUCACUAAUAGAGAGUUUCUAAACCAUUUAACUUGCUAGAAGUUCAUACACACCAAUUGUAAUUGUAUCAAAGGUGAACCACUGAUAAAAGUCGUACUAUGUUAGAGAGAAAGAAUCGCUUUCUUCCAAUACCUUCAUCUCUGCGUUUAGCCUUCCUUUUUCUUCCACUUCAGUUCCUUCCAAGGCUGUUCUGGCUGUUGCUCUCUCUCUUUUUCUACCACUGACAUUGAUGUUUCCUCUGUCAUCUUUAGAGGAGGUGCUUCAUCCUAAACACAAAAA